rnacentral:misc_RNA from 1 species
GAAAUGCGAUAAUUAAUGUGAAUUGCAGAAUUCAGUGAAUCAUCGAGUCUUUGAACGCACAUUGCGCCCCCUGGUAUUCCGGGGGGCAUUCCUGUCCGAGCGUCAUUGCUGCCCUCAAGCACGGCUUGUGUGUUGGGCUUCCGUCCCUGGCAACGGGGACGGGCCCAAAAGGCAGUGGCGGCACCAUGUCUGGUCCUCGAGCGUAUGGGGCUUUGUCACCCGCUCCCGUAGGUCCAGCUGGCAGCUAGCCUCGCAACCAAUCUUUUUAACCAGGUUGACCUCGGAUCAGGUAGGGAUACCCGCUGAACUUAAGC